AUUUCAGAAGCACAGCAGUUGCACGACAUCUUGGUGUUACAGGGUUUUGUUCUAUCAUCUAUGGAAGCAAACUUGGUAAAUGGUAACGACGGCGAGCCAGUGAGUCCCAAUGGUCAAAUUUUAAGUACGUCUCCUCUGUCCUUAUGCGUCCAAGUGAUCUUUGAGCUGGAGCAACCUAUUGAUGUGUUCGGAAUGAAGAAAGCCAUACAGGACAUUCUUCUGCCGUCCAACCUCCGUUUUUGCUGCACAAUGAGCGAGGACAGCCAUGGAGUUCUUCGUUGGGUGAAAACUGAAGUGAACGUGGAUGAUCAUGUGAUUAUUCCACAUUUUCCUCCAAGCCAAACAGAAUAUGAUGAAUUGGUGAAUGAUUAUAUUUGUAACAUACACCUUACUCCCCUUUCUAAGAAUCGGCCCCUGUGGCAGUUCCACUUUGUCAACUACAAUACAAGCAAGGCGAGAGCCACAAUGAUCAUAAAUAUGCACCAUUCUUUAGGCGAUGGUAUUUCUCUCAUGUCGUUAGUCUGUUGCUGUCUCACCAGAGCAGAAGAUCCAGAUCUUCCCCUCACCUUUCCUUAUUCCAAAUCUCUGCCUCACAAACCAUAUUAUUCAUGGUUUUCGGCCAAGUUUAUGUAUUACAUGUUGCGGAGGCUAUUUGUGUUCUUGCUUGUUUUGUGGUACACUGUUUCUGAUUUGAUUAGCACCUCACUGAGAAUGAUGUAUAUGAACGAUAGCAAGAUACCCAUUCGAGGACCUCCUGGGGUGGAGAUGCUGCCUAAAGUUAUGAGCCAUGUCACCUUCCCCAUGGAAGACUUCACAAAGAUAAAGACUUCCAUCGGCGGAACGGUGAAUGAUGUAAUAAUGGGUGUAAUAUUCUACGGUUUUCAACGAUACCUACAAAUUACUCAUUCUCAUGUUGAGAUUUGCAACAAUGGAUAUAUUCAAAAUUAUAAUUGUGAUUGUGACUCCUUAUAACUCGUGAUUUUCGGUGCAGGAGGAAACAGUGGGGAAAUGAAAAAGUCAAGAGUAACAGGGCUUGUUGCAAUCAAUACAAGAGUUUCGUCAGGAUUGAAGGAUAUAAAAGAAAUGACGAAACCUGAAACUGAAACACCGUGGGGAAACCGUUUUGGGCUGUUGCACGUACCCAUGCCCACAGGUAAUGCGGAGAGCCCAUCGGAUUUCGUGCGAAGAGCAAAAAAAAUCUUAGACCGGAAGAAAAUGUCACUUGAAGUGUCCGUUUUCACUCGACUAAUGGGCUACCUGAGUCGACAGGCGUCUGCUAUUUGUAUGUAUAACACUGUGGCAAAGGCAACGCUAACAAUAUCGAAUCUGAUCGGGCCGAUGGAGAAGAUAGCCGUAAAUCAAAUUCCGGUGAAGAACAUGUUUUUCUCAAUAUCCGGUUUGCCUCAGACGCUUGUUUUGACGGUGGUGAGCUACAUGGGAAGCAUAAGGUUGCAAGUGAUUGGUGUGAAAGGUUACGUAAACAGCGAUAGUUUGGCCGACUGUUUUGCUGAGUCCUUUGCAGAGAUCAAGGAGGCCUGUAAUAAUAAUCAAUAGUAUAGUCCUUACGUACUACUUUCAAGAAACGACGUCAUCAAAGUACAAGGUUAUCUUGUCAUGCACUUAAUAUAGACUGCAAAUAUCUUAACAAUUAAUUAACAGGCCGGGCUUGAAGUACACUUUAUUUGAA